rnacentral:lncRNA from 1 species
CUCAGUCAUUUUGGAUGGAGUCGGGUUAGCUGAGCUGUUUGGAAGUGAGUGGCUUUUCAAAUGACAUAUUUUCAUCCAAGAGAUAAGUGUUCCUUUCUCAUUUCUAUUUCCAGAAUAUUCAUUUGGUGGCCUGUUUCUUUCUAGAUAUGGAAACGGUUCUUAAUGUCUAUGGAGAAUUGAGUACAAAUUGUGGGAAAUUUGUUCUCUUUUCCGUCUAAGCUUCAAAUCUGGCAAUUUGUUCUCUAUUUAUAUCUAUAGUUCAUUCUUCAAAUUGUGGAAACUUUUUCACUGUGGCUUACAGUUUUGGGAAUGUCUGAAGAUUGUAAUAGAUCUUGUAAAUUGUGUUGCAUUUGCCCUCUUAUGUUGUCUUUUUCUAGAUCUAAAAACUUUUCUUCUAGAUAUGCUUUUCACGUUGAAAAUCUUUGGAGAAAUGGGUACAAAUUGUGGGUAUUUUUGUAGUGAAACCUUUGGACUAUUCAUGGCAAGAUGAGUGGGCAAUGAAGAAAUUGAAUAGCAGUCGGAUCCCCUUGCUUAUUACAGUCUAUAUAUAUUCGUAUAUCAAAUCAUUUUUUGUUUCUUUCUAAUUUUUUGUAUAAAUAUGUGCUUAAAUUGUGAUUUUUGAGUUGAUAAUGGAAAAUUAUUGAUUGAAUUGCAGAUAGAUUAAUAUUUUCGUUGAGAAUUUUUUGAUGCAUGUGUAAUUUUCAUAAAUGAGCAUUGACAAAAUUUUAAACCAAUACUAUUAUCCUUGCAGUUUAACAAUUUUUCUGCAAUUUCUCUAUGGUCUUGUAUAUUUUAUAAAUGCUUUAUUUUUGAAACUCUGUACUCUGAACCUUUCGAAUUCAGGUUGAAAACCUAUCUAUUUUGCAAUUUUCAUAUAUAUACUGUGAAGCUCAUUUUGGGUAAAGGUAACCCCCAUUUUGCGUAUAACUAUAGAUUGCUCAUGAAGCCCUACAAGGAGAGGGAAAAGUCCUUUAAAUGUAGAUUUUUCAUCCAUUUUUGUAAUAUUUUUUUGCUUUAUUCGAUAAUGAUAUCCUGUUGUUCAUUGAACAGUCUGUAGAAAACAGCAGCAAUACAUGGAGAGGGGAGAGUUUUCUGCUUAUUUAAACACAUCUGGAUUUUAUUCCUGAGAGCAAUUCAAUGUCCCCUUUGGUAAGCCUUCGAGUCAAGCGUCUUAUUCGUCCACAAGUAAAUGUGUCUAUUAACUGAAUCUCUUUUUGUCAUUCCACUGAGAGUAGUGCUUCAUGUACACCGAGCUUGAGCUCGGUGUACAUGCCCCUCACAUGGGGGCCCAGCUCGGAAUAAAGACAAAUAAAAAAAUGGGCGGGUCCCGCCCCUUGAGAGGGGAGUGUCAACCGGACUGUACACUUUUUAAUGUACAAAUGGUAAAUUCCUUCCACUGAAGGUCAAGAAUGUUUCAAAUGCGUAAGAGAUGAUACUCCAGAGAAAAUUGGAGCAGGUCAGUAGGAGGUGGAAUUACAACAUGCUAUUGAUCUUUAAGGCAGAAGAAUGGUGAACAUGCAAGUGAUAGACCUAAAAAAUAGCAUCACCAGAAUAAUUUCCUGCCAAAUCUGUCAGCCAGAACUCAAUUGUCUCCCGUUACAGUCUCAGUUACAAAUGAACCAAAACUUCAUUCUUCCAUCUAAUGCUGCUAAUCAAGAAUUUGGUUAGUUUUUAUCACAAAAUCUUUAUCCAAAGAUAUUCUAUAUGCAUUAUCAUUGAAGUUUAUUUGGUAGGAAUUUCUUCUGUACCCAAUUUCAGCUCCCAUCAUUUGUGUUCUACUUUUGAAAAAAUGUCUUAUUUUGUGCAUCUUGCAUUAGGUCGGGUUGUGCUUAUUUAUCAUCAAAAUGGAUUAAGUUGUUCAACCUGUUAGCAUGUAAAUGACCAGUUUUCCAAAGCUUCAUUUUAAUAUUUACAAUAUUUUCACCACAAUUAUUUUUUUGUCAGAUAUCCCACAAUUGCCAAACAUCAUUUCUUUAUACUUCAC